GAUAAACGCUGGCGGCGUGCUUAACACAUGCAAGUCGAACGGAGUACUUCUCCCGAGACCGAGGAAGCUUGCUUCCAAAGAAUCAUUUGAAGUACUUAGUGGCGGACGGGUGAGUAACGCGUGGGUAACCUGCCUCACACAGGGGGAUAACAGUUGGAAACGACUGUUAAUACCGCAUAAGCGCACAGUAUCGCAUGAUACAGUGUGAAAAACUCCGGUGGUGUGAGAUGGACCCGCGUCUGAUUAGCUAGUUGGUGAGGUAACGGCCCACCAAGGCGACGAUCAGUAGCCGGCCUGAGAGGGUGUACGGCCACAUUGGGACUGAGACACGGCCCAAACUCCUACGGGAGGCAGCAGUGGGGAAUAUUGCACAAUGGGGGAAACCCUGAUGCAGCGACGCCGCGUGAGUGAUGAAGUAUCUCGGUAUGUAAAGCUCUAUCAGCAGGGAAGAUAAUGACGGUAC
rnacentral:rRNA from 1 species